rnacentral:lncRNA from 1 species
CAUUCUCCUGCCUCAGCCUCCCGAGUAGCUGGGACUACAGGUGCCCGCCGCCACGCCCGGCUAAUUUUUUGUAUUUUUAGUAGAGACGAGGUUUCACUGUGUUAGCCAGGAUGGUCUCGAUCUGCUGACCUCGUGAUCCACCCGCCUCGGCCUCCCAGAGACUCCAUCUUAAAAAAAAAAAAAGAAUAAAAUAAAAUGAAACUAAAAAUCAGGAGAUUUUACAAUAGAACAUCUCCCAGCUUCUCAGAGUAGUUGGAGGAGCUGAUGACAUUGGGCUUCACACCCACUGGGGCAGGAGCGGUGCCUGAUGCCCUUUGAAUGGGCCAGGUGUUGUCUCUCUGGGGCUCCGCAUGCUACCCGUCACCUGCCCGCCUCAGGGCUGACCUCAAAUUCAUGACCCCUGGACAUGGCCUCGGAGCUCAGCCAGGACGAACGUUCCCCUGCCUGGCUCCUCCCCAGCUCUCGGGUCUCGGGGAGGCGGCUGAAGCUGGGGGAAGCGUGUGAGGCAGAAGGCAGGCCGGACAACGUCACCUUGAGCCUCAUUCACCUCGUUCGUCAGCACUUGGAGGGUUGGUCCUUUUGGCUGGUGUGAAGGACGCAUUGGCUGGUGCUGGCCAGGCCGAGGCUCAGAGCCACCUGUGUCCAGGGGGAUCCGGGGUGGUCCUCGGCCUUCCUGCAACCGCCAGGGUGGUCAUCAGAAAGGCUGUAGCUCCUGAGCUGCUGGGAGUUGGUGGAAGGGAGUGGAGCUUGGUUUCGGGAUCUCGGUGCUGCAGACGGCGAGACCUCCUGCACAGAGCUGCGUCUCAGGUCGCAGGUGAACUUUCUGGAUGGCGUGGUCUGCAUGCGUGUGUGCGUCUGGCUGCCUGCCAGGAGGGAACCGGUGUUGCUGCCCUGUGUCGCUGUCGCCUGAACGUAUUGCUGUCCCUGGGGGGACUGCUCCCUAGAAAGCCUCCGUGCCGUGUCGUUGGUGAGCGCCGGUCUGUGCUGACACUGCAGGCUACUUCCCAGUGCCGACGAUGACACCUCUGCCUCUGAAGUGAGAAGCGGAGACGCCACUGGGAGGGGCGGGGGCGGAGGGCACGGGGUUCAAGUGCCAGGCUGAGCCUACAUGGGAGGUACUUGCAGACUGGCCCCAAGUGGGUUUUAUGUGUUGUUAAAAUACAUAACAAUGUAGUUUAGCUUGCCCCGUCCUAAUAUGUAUU